ensembl:snoRNA
CCUGCACCUAGAGAAGGAGAUUUCAGAAUCAGAGCUGUGGGUAGAAGUUUAAAAAAGAAUACACAGGAGCCUAAAGAAUUGUCUUUCUUUGGUCUGUUGGCCAUUUCAUAAGUUUGGAAAUGUAGUGGUCUCAAUUCAUUAGAAAGAAACAUGA